rnacentral:rRNA from 1 species
AGAGUUUGAUCCUGGCUCAGGAUGAACGCUGGCGGCGCGCCUAACACAUGCAAGUCGAACGGCACCCACCUCCGGGUGGAAGCGAGUGGCGAACGGCUGAGUAACACGUGGAGAACCUGCCCCCUCCCCCGGGAUAGCCGCCCGAAAGGACGGGUAAUACCGGAUACCCCGGGGUGCCGCAUGGCACCCCGGCUAAAGCCCCGACGGGAGGGGAUGGCUCCGCGGCCCAUCAGGUAGACGGCGGGGUGACGGCCCACCGUGCCGACAACGGGUAGCCGGGUUGAGAGACCGACCGGCCAGAUUGGGACUGAGACACGGCCCAGACUCCUACGGGAGGCAGCAGUGGGGAAUCUUGCGCAAUGGGGGGAACCCUGACGCAGCGACGCCGCGUGCGGGACGGAGGCCUUCGGGUUGUAAACCGCUUUCAGCAGGGAAGAGUCAAGACUGUACCUGCAGAAGAAGCCCCGGCUAACUACGUGCCAGCAGCCGCGGU